GCCAGACUCCUACGGGAGGCAGCAGUGAGGAAUAUUGGUCAAUGGUCGGGAGACUGAACCAGCCAAGCCGCGUGAGGGAUGAAGGUACAGAGUAUCGUAAACCUCUUUUGUCAGGGAACAAAGGCGGGGACGUGUCCCCGGAUGAGUGUACCUGAAGAAAAAGCAUCGGCUAACUCCGUGCCAGCAGCCGCGGUAAUACGGAGGAUGCGAGCGUUAUCCGGAUUUAUUGGGUUUAAAGGGUGCGCAGGCGGGAGAUCAAGUCAGCGGUAAAAUGUCGGGGCUCAACCCCGGCCGGCCGUUGAAACUGGCAGUCUAGAGUUGGAGAGAAGUAUGCGGAAUGCGCGGUGUAGCGGUGAAAUGCAUAGAUAUCGCGCAGAACUCCGAUUGCGAAGGCAGCAUGCCGGCUCCACACCGACGCUGAGGCACGAAAGCGUGGGUAUCGAACAGGAUUAGAUACCCGAGUU
rnacentral:rRNA from 1 species